AAAAGACACAGAAAAGCAUGCCACACACAAAGGAAAAAGCUAUUAAUAGAAACUAUCAUUGGAGAAUUCUAGAUAUUGAAUGUAUCAGACAAACACUUUAAAAAUGUGUGUAAAGAACUUAAGGAAAUCAUGCCUUAAAAAAAUCAAAGGAAAGUAUAACAACUAGAUAUCACCAAGUAGACAAUAUCAGUGAAAAGGUAGAAAUUGUUAAAAAGAACCCAGUAGAAAUUCUAGAGUUGAAAAGUACAAUGACUGCAAUAAAAAAAAAAUCACUGGGUUGACAUAAUAACAGAUCUUAGUAUAAAGAAGAAAGAAUCAGCAAACUUGAACAUAGACCAAUGGAGAUUAUCCAGUGAGUGGAACAAAAUGAAAAAUGAAUGAAGAAAAAUAUACAGAAAUGAAUAUACCUGUGGCACAUCAUGAAGAAUGCCAACAAACACAUAAUGGGAAUCUCAGAGGAGAAGAGAAGAGAAGAGAAGCAGGGGCAAAAUUACUUGAAAAAAUAGUGGCCAAAAAUUUGACAAAACAAUUCAUUUUUACAUCUAAGAAUGUCAACAAAUCCCAACGAACUUAAUGAGAUUGACAUCUGUACACAUUAUAGUCAAACUAACAAUGUUAAAGACAGAGAACAUUUUGAAAACAGCAAGAGAAAAGCAAUAUUUACUUACAGGUGAGUCACAAUAUGAUUAGCAGCAGAUUUCUAAUGAGAAACCAUGGAAGCCAUUAAGAAUAUUAGAUCAUGCCUUCAGAGUGUUGGAAGAAAUGACUGUCAACAAGUAAUUAUAUUCCUAGCAAAAUUUUCCUCAAAAAACAAAGGAAAAAUCAAAAGACAAGUCACAUCCACAAAAAACUUGCACCUGUAUGUUUGUAGCAGCUUUAUUCAUAAUUGCCCAAAUGUAGAAGCAACCAAGAUGGCUUUCAGUAGGUGAAUUAAUAAAUAAAAUGCAAUACAUCUAGAUAAUGGAAAUUAUUCAGCACUAAAAUUAAAUGAGCUAUUAAGCCAUGAAGACAGGGAAAAAAUUAAAUGCAUAUUACUAAUAAGCAAACCUGAAAUAGCUACAUACUAUAUGAGUCCAACCUUAAGACAGUCUAGAAAAGAAAAACCAUGGAGACGGUAAAAGGAUCAGUAGUUGCUGCAGGGAAGGGUUGGAGGGAGGAAUGAAUAGGUGGAGCACAGGGGAUUUGUAGGGCAGGAAAGAUACUCUGUACAAUACUGCAGUGGUGGAUACAUGUCAUUAUUCAUUUGUCCAAACCCAUAGAACGUGCAACACCAAAAGGAAACCCUAAGGUAAACUAUGGACUCUUAGUAAUAACGACAUGAUUAAUCAAUUGUAACCAAUGUACCAUUCUGCAGCAGGAUAUUGACAAUGGAGGAGGCUGUGCAUGUGUGGGGCAGGGGGUAUACAGGAAAUCUCUGAACUUUCCACUCAGUUUUGCUGUGAACCUAGAAGUACACUCGAAAAUAAAUUCUAUUAAAAAGAAAAGGAGGCCGGGCACAGUGGCUCACACCUGUAAUCCCAGCACUUUGGAAGGCCAAGGCGGGCAGAUCACAAGGUCAGGAGAUCAAGACCAUCCUGGCUAACAUGGUGAAACCCCGUCUCUACCCAAAAUACAAAAGAUAAAAAUUAGCUGGGCAUGGUGGCAGGUGCCUGCAGUCCCAGCUACUCAAGAGGCUGAGGUAGGAGAAUGGCGUGAACCCGGAGGCGGAGCUUGCAGUGAGCUGAGAUCGCACCACUGCACUCCACAGCCUGGGUGACAGAGGGAGACUCCAUGUCACAAAAAAAAAAAAAAGAAAGAAAGAAAGAAAAGGAAUUCUGGAGAUGGAUGCGCCAUUGCGAAUGUACUUUAUGCCGCCAAAUUGUGCCCUCAAAAAUGAUUCAAAUGAUACACUUUACAUUAUGUGUAUAUUACCACAAUAAAAAAAUUCCAGUCGCUUC
rnacentral:lncRNA from 10 species